rnacentral:rRNA from 1 species
UACGUAGGGUGCGAGCGUUGUCCGGAAUUAUUGGGUGUAAAGAGCUUGUAGGCGGUUUGUCGCGUCUGCCGUGAAAAUUCGAGGCUCAACCUCGAACUUGCGGUGGGUACGGGCAGACUAGAGUGUGGUAGGGGAGACUGGAAUUCCUGGUGUAGCGGUGAAAUGCGCAGAUAUCAGGAGGAACACCGGUGGCGAAGGCGGGUCUCUGGGCCGAAAUUGACGCUGAGGAGCGAAAGCGUGGGGAGCAAACAGG